rnacentral:rRNA from 1 species
UACGUAGGUGGCGAGCGUUAUCCGGAAUUAUUGGGCGUAAAGAGCGCGCAGGUGGUUGAUUAAGUCUGAUGUGAAAGCCCACGGCUUAACCGUGGAGAGUCAUUGGAAACUGGUCGACUUGAGUGCAGAAGAGGGAAGUGGAAUUCCAUGUGUAGCGGUGAAAUGCGUAGAGAUAUGGAGGAACACCAGUGGCGAAGGCGGCUUCCUGGUCUGUAACUGACACUGAGGCGCGAAAGCGUGGGGAGCAAACAGGAUUAGA